UACGAAGGGUGCAAGCGUUAAUCGGAAUUAUUGGGCGUAAAGAGCUCGUAGGCGGCUUGUUGCGUCAACUGUGAAAACCCGCGGCUCAACCGUGUGGCUUGCAGUCGAUACGGGCAGGCUAGAGUUCGGUAGGGGAGACUGGAAUUCCUGGUGUAGCGGUGAAAUGCGCAGAUAUCAGGAGGAACACCGGUGGCGAAGGCGGGUCUCUGGGCCGAUACUGACGCUGAGGAGCGAAAGCGUGGGGAGCGAACAGG
rnacentral:rRNA from 1 species